CGAGGGCACGAGCCGCCACUCGCCGAUGACCGGGGGCACCGCCAGUUCGAGUUGCGGCAGCGGACCCGCGCCCGCCGCGCCCGGCAGCGCGCGA
rnacentral:tRNA from 1 species